rnacentral:rRNA from 1 species
CCUUUGACGUUAGCGGCGGACGGGUGAGUAACACGUGGGUAACCUACCUAUAAGACUGGGAUAACUUCGGGAAACCGGAGCUAAUACCGGAUAAUAUUUCGAACCGCAUGGUUCGAUAGUGAAAGAUGGUUUUGCUAUCACUUAUAGAUGGACCCGCGCCGUAUUAGCUAGUUGGUAAGGUAACGGCUUACCAAGGCGACGAUACGUAGCCGACCUGAGAGGGUGAUCGGCCACACUGGAACUGANACACGGUCCAGACUCCUACGGGAGGCAGCAGGC